GCUGAUCUAACCGUCAAUCACAAACAUACACCCCCCCCCAUCAAACAAAACAUUUGCCAAACCCAGUAGAUGCGAUCGAACAGUGACUAGUCAAAAUAAAGUACCGCAAGGGAACCCCCACAAGCAACUAACAGCAAAGAUUACCCCUUGUACCUUUUGCAUCAUGGUUUAGCAAGUCAUCAGGACAAGAAGACUCCUAGCCCUUACCCCGAAACCGGAUGAGCUAUUUUCAAGCAGUCUCAUGGACACACCCUUCUCUGUAGCAAAAGAGUGGGAAGACUUAAAAAUAGAAGUGAAACGCUUAUCGAAUCCGGAGAUAGCUGGCUACCCCAAACAGAAUCUAAGUUCUACUUUAGGCCUCUAUAUACCCAAUAAUUAACCUAAAGGUAAUCAAUAAGGGUACAGCCCUAUUGAGACAGGAUACAACCUGAAUUUGAAAGACCAGAACCCCAUUUUUCCCGUAGGCCCUAAAGCAGCCACCCACAAAAAUAUCGUCAAAGAAUUAGCCAAAACAAUUCACACACUCAACUCUUCCUUCAAACUUACUAAAGGUGAACCUACCUAAGUAGGAACCAUUAUGCUAAAACUAAUAAUAAGACUAUAUCUCUUCAACGCACCCCCCAACUAGUACAGAAAAUCUUCUAGUAGUUAACAGACCACAAAAGGUAAACAAUCAAGCAAAUACCCACCUUCAAACUUACUGUAACCCCAACACAGGAGCGUUAAAAAGAAAGAUUAACUGUUAUAAAAGGAACUCGGCAACCAUGGGCUCCAACUGUUUAACAAAAACAUAACCUUUAGCUAAACAAAUAUUAAAGGCAACGCCUGCCCAGUGAACUAUUAAACGGCCGCGGUAUCCUAACCGUGCAAAGGUAGCAUAAUCAUUUGUCUAUUAAUUGUAGACUUGUAUGAAAGGCAAAAUGAGAGCCCGACUGUCUCUUAUAACAAAUCAAUUAAACUGAUCUCCCUGUACAAAAGCCGGGAUAUCACCAUAAGACCAGAAGACCCUGUGAAGCUUUAACUAACCUAUUAAACCAAAUAAUAACUAUUUUCGGUUGGGGCGACCUUGGAACAAAAAAGAACUUCCAAAUAUAUGACUUCCUCAUACUAAGGCAAACAAGCCACAUUAGACCCAGUAUAUCUGAUAAAUGAACCAAGUUACUCCAGGGAUAACAGCGCUAUCUUCUUCAAGAGCCCAUAUCAAAAAGAAGGUUUACGACCUCGAUGUUGGAUCAGGACAUCCUAGCAAUGCAACCGUUACUAAGGGUUCGUUUGUUCAACGAUUAACAGUCCUACGUGAUCUGAGUUCAGACCGGAGCAAUCCAGGUCAGUUUCUAUCUAUGUUUAGCCAUACCCAGUACGAAAGGACCGGUAUAGCAAAGCCUAUACUCCAAGCACGCUUUAACCAUAAAGUAUUACUCAUAUACCAAAACAUUAACCACACUAAACCUAAACCAGGUUAAUUAAGGACUACAGGCCUUA
rnacentral:rRNA from 1 species